UUGUUUUUGUUUUUUAACGUUUAAUUUAUUGUUUAUGACUACUUUUCUUCUGUUGUACUUAGGUAUUUUUUUCCAUGUUGUAAGCCACCUUGAGCAUCUUUCUGAAAUCGCUGGGCUGAGAUGAAUGCUGAGAGGAACGCCGGGGGAAUCAGUGUUUUAGUGAGAAGAUUUCAAGUCUUCAGCUUUACUUCCUAAUAUUCAACCCAGCUUCCCUGAGAUUGCAGCACUUGCCAAAUGAUCUUCUCACGCUUCAAAUCUUGCUUAGAAGAAG